GCUCUCGUCGUUCAACGGAUAGGACGUAGCGUUGCGGACGCUAUGAUAGAGGUUCGAUUCCUCUCGAGAGCA
rnacentral:tRNA from 1 species